rnacentral:rRNA from 1 species
UGGGGAAUAUUGCGCAAUGGGGGAAACCCUGACGCAGCGACGCCGCGUGCGGGAUGAAGGCCCUCGGGUUGUAAACCGCUUUUGAUUGGGAGCAAGCUUUCGGGUGAGUGUACCUUUCGAAUAAGCGCCGGCUAACUACGUGCCAGCAGCCGCGGUAAUACGUAGGGCGCAAGCGUUAUCCGGAAUUAUUGGGCGUAAAGAGCGUGUAGGCGGUUCGUCGCGUCUGGUGUGAAAGCCCAUCGCUUAACGGUGGGUUUGCGCCGGGUACGGGCGGGCUAGAGUGCAGUAGGGGAGACUGGAAUUCUCGGUGUAGCGGUGGAAUGUGUAGAUAUCGGGAAGAACACCAAUGGCGAAGGCAGGUCUCUGGGCUGUUACUGACGCUGAGAAGCGAAAGCGUGGGGAGCGAACAGG